AAGGAUGAACACCGGCUGAAGCUCUUCUCCUCCGUGCGUGCUCGUGGCUCUCGUCGGCUGAAGCUUCGUUCUCCCUUUUCCGGCGUCUCUCCAUCUCUCCGGCGGCUCCCACUCGGUCUAUUCUCUCUGGCGACUCCUCACUCCGGCGACUCCAGAUAUAGGUGAGAUGAUGACUCGCCAGUUUUCUUGUGGGCAGGAGAGUCUCAGUUUAUUGGAGGAGCUGUGCGUUCAAUCCAAGGCCAGCAUGCUGAUUACUUUGGGCGGCGAUGUGCCUGUUGAUGAAACAAACGAAGGAGACGACCUUGAAGCUACUCAGUUUGUCAUGGAAAAUGAUGAUGACAUGAAGGAGGACUUGGACCUCCCUGAGACGGCUAGGCCACGUAAAACUUCCCAGGUUUUUAUCUGUCAAGUCAAUGUCUGGGCUGCCUGAUGUGUUAUUAUCUCCAAAAAGGGAGGAAAACGACACCCUGAAUUGUGAAUAUGAGUUUUAUGCGAUGGAAGACGAUGAGGGUGAAAAUCAUGACGAUGCCAUCAACCGUCCCAAGGUGGGGGCUUUCAACCGGAGCAUGAGUUUUGCAGUGCAGCAACACGACAACGAGGGCGAGGGGAUCUCUUUCGGAGAUAUGAGCGAAGAUGAGUGGGUACUGUUCCUUGAAAUCUUCGAGAAGCUCUUGCCCGAGGUCACGGAGAACGCUAGAUGCAACAGCUCGAAGCAGAGGUUGGGAACUUCUUGCGACUUCUGAGGAAUCACCAAAGCAAUAGACGAUUUAAAGAUCAGCAAAAAAAGAUAGAAAGAAGCUCGGACACAGAUCGCUUGUAAUUAUUGUGGACUAAUUUUCCUUUUCUGUUUCCCAAAUGACUUGCUAGUAUAGAUUGUAGAUAAUGACCAUUUGGGGCCCGACGUGAGAGGAAAAGCGAUCGGCAAGUCGCCGUCCUUUCCUUUUUCUACUCUCUCACGCGGUUUCGUCCUCAUUUUGUAACUAUCACCAUGCAAUUAUAUCAGUGUGUAUUGUAUUGUGUAUAAGCUCAUUGCCCCGUUUACAUCAA